rnacentral:piRNA from 1 species
CAGACAUACCUACCCCUUCCUGUGUGCU